GAUUACACUUUAAACAAAUGGUCGAGGAGUACGGUAGCGGAAAUGGAAGCGUCGAGUGGAAAUCCGACGAAGGUACGGCACGACGCAAACGCGCUCCGUUGAGAAAUACGCAAAAAAUGCCGUAAAAUCCUAAUUUCUCAAUGGAGUGCAUUUGCAUCGGCGCGAAAUUCGAAUUUUCAGGCGAAUUUCACAUAAAAGUCCCGAAAAUGCACAAAAAAGAGCAUUUCUCGAAUUUGGACAUGAUUACGGAGCUGCUAACGCCUAGUACAACACACCACCAACCACACGGAAAUCAACUUGUCGAGGAAAUGGACGAUUCUGAAGACGAUGAUGAAGGUGAUGGCUCGGAAUUUCUAGUGGAACAGCAGCCAGCAGCAGAGCCCGAAGAGCCGAAAAGUGAUGGAAAAAUCGAAAAAUUCGGCUAUGGUUUCGGUUGGAGCAAGUUUGGAGUUAUUGAGAGGCUCAGAGAUGAAAUCGGCAAAAUUGUGGAUAUUUUGGAGCCCGAAAAUGUGGAAAUUGAGAAAAGAGCCGACAAAUUGAUGGAAUUCGAUUGGGAAAACUUUGAUGAAGGCAGAUAUUU
rnacentral:sRNA from 1 species